rnacentral:rRNA from 1 species
UACGUAGGGGGCGAGCGUUGUCCGGAUUCAUUGGGCGUAAAGCGCGCGCAGGCCGCCGCGAGAGCCCGGCGUGAAAGCCCCCGGCUCAACCGGGGGAGGCCGUCGGGGACCUCGGGGCUGGAGGCCGGUAGGGGCGAGCGGAAUUCCCGGUGUAGUGGUGGAAUGCGUAGAGAUCGGGAGGAACACCGGUGGCGGAGGCGGCUCGCUGGGCCGGUCCUGACGCUCGGGCGCGAAAGCGUGGGGAGCGAUCCGG